UCAGAGAUACACCGGAAACUGCUGAUCUGUAUCAAACCUUAGGGAUUUUUUUUCGGCUGUUCCUCAGGAAUUUCAGGAAAAAACAAUGAAGAAAAGCCUCUUAAUGCAGCAGUUGUAUCUUUAUGGUGUUCAUAUUAUUCUCUCGUAUGGAUGCGGUCAGAGUGAGUAUCAGUCAGAAGCUGGAGAGUGCUGUCCGAUGUGUGGAUUAGGAAUGGUGGUCCACAUAGAUUGUCAUGGUGAUUACAGUACUGCAUGUAAGCCGUGCUCCACAGGAAGAACAUUCAUGGAUCAACCCAACGGCCUGAAGCAGUGUUUCCCCUGCAAAUCAUGCGACAGCCAAUUGGGUCUGUAUGUGUGGAGCUCGUGUACGGUGAUGAGGAAUACUCAGUGUAAAGUGAUGGAGGGGUAUUAUUGUACAGAGUUCUCGGGAGGUGAAUGCAGCUCUGCACUCAAACACAGACAGUGUGAACCUGGAGAGGCAAUAAAAACACCAGGAAGUGAAAAGUCAGAUACAGUGUGUGAGGCGUGUCCUCCGGGAUUUUACUCUCCACUGGGAAUAAACUGCACCAGAUGGACAGACUGUUCAGUGAGGGAUGAGGUGCAGCAGAGGGCCGGCAGUGCGGUGGAAGAUGUUCAGUGUGUAUCUAAAGCUUCCCGACACAGAUACUGCAUCAUACCGGCUGCAGCUUCAGCACUGGCAGUUUUACUGUACACAGUUUUCUCACCGAAUCAGGCUUACCAGCAAGGGAAUGAUGGUGGUCCGACAGAUGUCGACUAUAAAAAUCCUGUACCAGAAACGGGUCAGGGUACAGUACCGGCAGCAUCAUCCAACUCACCGGAGGAACACACAGACCCUAAAUCAGCUAAUCUCUGAGAACGACGAGCACUACCACCACCAUGCUUUAAAGAUCAGCCUGUUCAGCUCUGCGACUUCAGUUGGGAUUAACAGAUGCAGAACCUGCGUUUCAUACGCUGGGUUGGAUUCUCUACAGCAGGAUUCUUCUUUGUCUCAUGUGUGGAACAGUCUAACAGAGUGAGUGGUACUAUCACCAGAAUGUGAACUUUCUUUUGUGAAGUUUACAUAAGUUUAGUUUUUGGUAGUUGUGUUUUGUAUUUUGGUAAAUUGAUGGUAAAUGUACUUUCACUGAGUUUCAGUAAAUCCGAUACUAAAGCUCUGAUCUGUUUCAGAAAUAUAAAAUAGGAUACAGAAAAUAAUCUUAUUAUCUCAUUUCUGAUUUUACAUUUUACAGUUUUUCUCCAUUGGUUUGGCUCAUUUCUUGAAACUGAGAUGAAAUUCUCAAAAUAACAUGGACAAAUCCCCAAACUAACUUGCAGUUCCUCACAACAGAAUGGCAUUUCUCAUUGCUUUCAUCACAUUUCAAAUCAUUUUGUACAUGUCUCAAGCACUUAGUACAUCUUUGCAAAUGGUUAUGUACAAGUAGCCUACACUUAACACAAUCAUCCUACAUUUAGUACAUUUUCCAAAAGAAUGCAUCUUGUUGAUCUAUCCCAAUUGGUUGGUUCUCAGUGUAAUGGUUGUUCUCUUCAAAACAUGUCAGCACAAUUUCAUCGUAGUCAUCAUCUGCAGAAUAGUCUGCUCAAUUCUCAAAAUGAGUUAAGAAAUUGUAAUACAAUACAGAACACAUAUUCUGGAACAUUUCAUAAAUUCAUGAGAAUCAGGUGAGUAGGUAACAGGUGAAAGCAGGUUUUGAUGAGGAGGAGUGUCCCACAUUACAGGUGAUCAGUCCAUCAGUUUGUUACCUGACAGGUGUUGUCUAUGAUUCUGAAUGCUGGCAUUGCUGUAUAUAUACAGCUUGGCCUGGUGCUAGUAUUUGAUGCUAGUUCUGUGAUGAUAUAACAGACGAUCAGUGUAGAGGAUUGGGUCAGGCAUUCUUCCCAUGGUGCAUUGCUAAAGAACACAUCAGAUGUGAUGUUGAUGAGAAUUUAAACAGACUGCAGUGGAUGGAUGAGCAGGAGAGAGAGGGGGGAGUGACACAGAGUAGUCAGAAUGUUACCGUACUGCAUUUGUGAUGAUUGACUGUUUUUUUACAUACUGUAUUUGUAUUUUGUUUUGUUUUUGCAGGUUUUUGUAAUUUGAAUACAUAGUAUACUUGGUACAUUUUCCUUUGUGUUUUUUUCUUUCCUACCUACAGUAAUGUGUAAAGAUGUACUUGUAAAUAAAAAUAGUUACAGGUUCCUCAGCAGAAUGAGUGCAGUGUGUGUGGCGUGUGAUGAGUGCAGUGUGUGUGGCGUGUGAUGAGUGCAGUGUGUGUGGCGUGUGAUGAGUGCAGUGUGUGUGGUGUGAUGAGUGCAGUGUGUGUGGCGUGUGAUGAGUGCAGUGUGUGUGGCGUGUGAUGAGUGCAGUGUGUGUGGCGUGUGAUGAGUGCAGUGUGUGUGGCGUGUGAUGAGUGCAGUGUGUGUGGCGUGUGAUGAGUGCAGUGUGUGUGGUGUGAAAAUUGUAUUCCUUUAGCUAGACCUCUGCUAUAAAGAUAAAACCUCUAAUCAUUUUGACUUGCAGUACUUACACAAUGCCAAAGGGACAAUGCAUUUUGGGGGCACUGAUGAUUUGUGUGAGAAAGGAAAUCAGUUUUGACACGUGGGUAAACUGUUUUUGGAGUGAUAUGAGCAGUGAUGAGGAUCCAUGUAGUUUUGCUGCACCGUCCAGUUUAUUUUGACAGGAGGACGAAAUGAAUGAAAAUGUGCCAAAGCAAUUGAGAAGGAUCUAUGCCAUUUUUAUGGUACUGACUAUUUAUAUGAGAGAGGGACUUCAUUUUGAAGCAAGAAUGAACGUUUUGGGAGAUAUAUGACAUUUUACUGGUUAUCUGAAGUGUUGUGAAGAACUGUAAGUCUGUUUGACCAAUUUACCUUUUAGUUAUAGGAAUAUCAUCUCAGUUUCAAGAGAUGAGCCAAACCAAAUUAGAUAAACUGUAAUAGAUUCAUUCUUGAAGUGAAUAGAGAAUAAAAUAAGCGAAAAAGAUUUAACAGAAACAGGAAUUCAGUGCAACUUUCAUUUCUCCUUUAUGUUUACAGAACAAACCCGCGGUUUAUCAUUUUUAUUAUGAAGCCUGGGCUGGCUCACAGCACUCCUCCUACCCCAUUGGUCAGUCUGAGUGAUCACAUGCUCCCAGCAGCACUGCUGAGGUAAACCAAUGGGCUCCUUGCACUCACGGCAUUUCCGCUUUCAAAUAAUGCGGCUCGGACGUUUCCGGUUGUAUUGUUUACAUUGGCCUGUAUAGGCAAAACUUAAUAUUUUUACUAGCGAGAGCUCAAAAUGAGUAUCCAGCGUGACGUUUUCGAGCUGUUUUCAGCACUGCUGUGUUCAUACCAGACUACCUGGUUAAACCAAAAAACGUCAGAAGCUUGGAGACGACUGGCAAAGCAUGCAGUGCCACUGCUUUUUAAACUGAAUAAUUAACGUUACAGCACCCAGGCUCCACGUGAUUGGGAGAGGAGAUCAGCUAAACGUACUUGCCUGAAUGAUCCACCAGCUAGCAUUAUUAUUAUUAUUAUUAUUAUUAUUAUUAUUAUUAUUAUUAUUAUU